GGUUAAGUGACUAAGCGUACACGGUGGAUGCCUGGGCAGUCAGAGGCGAUGAAGGACGUACUAACUUGCGAUAAGCGCAGAUAAGGCAGUAAGAGCCGUUUGAGUCUGCGAUUUCCGAAUGGGGAAACCCAACUGCAUAAGCAGUUACUGUUAACUGAAUACAUAGGUUAACAGAGCAAACCGGGGGAACUGAAACAUCUAAGUACCCCGAGGAGAAGAAAUCAACCGAGAUUCCGGUAGUAGCGGCGAGCGAACCUGGAUUAGCCCUUAAGCACUCGGUGAAGUAGGUGAACAAGCUGGAAAGCUUGGCGAUACAGGGUGAUAGCCCCGUAACCGACGCUUCAUCGAGCGUGAAAUCGAGUAGGGCGGGACACGUGAUAUCCUGUCUGAAUAUGGGGGGACCAUCCUCCAAGGCUAAAUACUCCUGACUGACCGAUAGUGAACCAGUACCGUGAGGGAAAGGCGAAAAGAACCCCUGUGAGGGGAGUGAAAUAGAACCUGAAACCGUGUACGUACAAGCAGUAGGAGCACCUUCGUGGUGUGACUGCGUACCUUUUGUAUAAUGGGUCAGCGACUUAUAUUCAGUGGCAAGGUUAACCGUAUAGGGGAGCCGUAGCGAAAGCGAGUCUUAACUGGGCGCUCAGUCUCUGGAUAUAGACCCGAAACCGGGUGAUCUAGCCAUGGGCAGGUUGAAGGUUGAGUAACAUCAACUGGAGGACCGAACCGACUAAUGUUGAAAAAUUAGCGGAUGACUUGUGGCUAGGGGUGAAAGGCCAAUCAAACUCGGAGAUAGCUGGUUCUCCCCGAAAGCUAUUUAGGUAGCGCCUCGGACGAAUACUACUGGGGGUAGAGCACUGUUAAGGCUAGGGGGUCAUCCCGACUUACCAACCCUUUGCAAACUCCGAAUACCAGUAAGUACUAUCCGGGAGACACACGGCGGGUGCUAACGUCCGUCGUGGAGAGGGAAACAACCCAGACCGCCAGCUAAGGUCCCAAAGUAUUGCUAAGUGGGAAACGAUGUGGGAAGGCUCAGACAGCUAGGAUGUUGGCUUAGAAGCAGCCAUCAUUUAAAGAAAGCGUAAUAGCUCACUAGUCGAGUCGGCCUGCGCGGAAGAUGUAACGGGGCUAAGCA
rnacentral:rRNA from 1 species